rnacentral:rRNA from 1 species
AUUGAACGCUGGCGGCAGGCUUAACACAUGCAAGUCGAGCGAGCGGCGGACGGGUGAGUAAUGUCUGGGAAACUGCCUGAUGGAGGGGGAUAACUACUGGAAACGGUAGCUAAUACCGCAUACCAUCAGAUGUGCCCAGAUGGGAUUAGCUAGUAGGUGGGGUCAUGGCUCACCUGGGUGACUAUCCCUAGCUGGUCUGAGAGGAUGACCAGACAACCUGUAACGGAGACACGUGCCAGACUCCUACGGGAGGCAGCAGUGGGGAAGAUUGCACAAUUGGCGUAAGCGUGAUGCAGCCAUGCGGCGUGUGUGAAGAAGGCCUUCGGGUUGUAAAGCACUGUCAGCGAGGAGGCGUUACUCGCAGAAGAAGCACCAGCUAAAUCCGUGCCAGCCGCCGCGGUAAUAC